rnacentral:lncRNA from 1 species
AGGAAGCAUUUCAAGAAGAAUAAUAAAGGAUGACGUGGAUUGAAAAGGUGGAGGGGAUGCACGAGUUUGCUUGCACUACUUAUAGUUGGUUAGAAGGAGAGAGAAAUGGCAUCUUAUCUUUCUGUUAGAAUUUGUAUUCACAAUACGUGAAUUGGGGCCUUAGUGCUUUGGGGGAAUUGAUAAUUCUUAUCAAUUCUACAGUUAUCUUUGCUUGUUGCUCACAUUACUUUUACAUUCGUACUUGUAAUUGUUCUUCUAUCCAUUAAUACAAUUACUAGUUUCCAUAUAUUUUACAUACAAUUCACUCUUAGUUCUAUCAAAGAGUUUUAUUGAUUAGAGAAUAUGAGAAAAGUUUACAAGAGGUGAUUACAAAUGUGAGAUUACAACUGUAUUUAUAGACUAUACAGUGUAACUACCUCUCUAAGUAACUAACUAACUAACUGCAAUGCUUAGCAGUCUAACUGACUAGCUAACUGCCUAACUGCCUUACAACUGUAACAGCAUAUAACAGAACAGAUGCUUAACCAUCUAAUAGCACAUCACACUAUCACAGUAUUGGAUAGGUUUGACAAUUACUAAACAACAUUCAUGAGGGUUAUUGUUGAAAGUUUGAAUCAAUAUUAUUAUUAUAGUUUAAUAGAGUUUAUUGAGUUUCUUAGGAUUC